CUCAAUACACCAAAGCAAAGGCUCUGUCAUGUUUAUGCUUUAGCCCUCUCGUGCCCUCUUCCGCUCUUUGAAUUCUCCGUGGUUGCAUUCUUGCUCUGCCAUGUUUUUCUUCAAGCUCCUUUUCUGAACGUCCUAGCUGAUGAUCCAGGACAUAAAUGUUUGGUUUUCCUUUGAUUUACCUUGUAUUUGGUUGAAUUUUGCAAGGAAGCAAGCUAGCUGAGAGCUGUGUUUUGAAGCAGGUUUGGUGAACUUCUAUGUACUUUUUUCCUUCGCGAACUUAUCUUCAGUUUUUUUCAUGCGCCCAUGAAUCAGUACUUGCUCCUUAUAAAUUUCUGCAAUACCGUAUUAUUUUUUUCAUGAAGUUUCCAUGCGCCGAUGAUGAACGAAAAAUACUAGGUUGAAUAAUGAUGGGCUGAUCCGGUGCCUGUGUGGUGCCACACCAUAUAUCGUCCACUUGAUUACCUAUGUUCCUCUCGACUGAGGCAUGAUGAAAACUCAACCUCUCUUUGAUUUUUUAUCAACAUUUUCUGAUCUUUUUGAACUACUUUUUUGUUAAUGCAAAUGAGAACUGAUUGGUUUCUCUCUGGCUUGCCUAAAUUCGAUUCUUUUCUUUUUAUUUGUUAUCUAUGUUUAUACGAACACUUUAUGUUGCAAAAGUUCUACCAAAUUCUAUUUAUAUGUGCUUUUAUCGGCAUUUUAAUUACCUUUUUAAUUUAACUAAACUAACCAGUUAAGAAUUUGAGUGGGUUUCCUUUAUUUUUCUGAUAAUUUUUAACUCAAACUUGUUUUGCAGCAUUUCAGAGGAAGUGCUCAUGCAGAAGGAAGCAGAUCAUGUCAAUGAGAUGCAUACUUCAUUCACCAUUUCAAGUAUGGUAAAACUUUAUGUUUUAUAUGUGCGCAGAAUUAGAAGUGAUCACUGCACAUGUGUAAAAUGUUGUCUUCUAGUAACUCUUCUCCUUUUUACAAUGUCGUGCCAUUUUUUACAUGCAAAUCUGUUUACCAGAUAAGUGCUGAUCGAUUAUGGAUAUUAUUAUGCAAACUUCACUAAUGCCACAGUAUGAGUCGCUUGAUAUGAUUCUGCCC
rnacentral:lncRNA from 1 species